CAAAGUGAAAACCUUAUCAAAGGGACUGAGACUUGAGUUUUUCGAUUAUAUUUGCCUUACAAUAUCAGAAGUGGGAUACGAUUUGUAUCAGAUUCGAAUACAGCAAACAGUCGGAGAAAUCAUGAAUAAACUUUAUUUCAAGAAUUUAUGUGCAAAAAGAACUGAGCCUAAGUCAACAUGUCUGACAUUGAGAAUUCCCGUGACGAAGAAUUAGGAAAACAAGGAAACUAUAAUAAAAGAGGUAAUGAUACGAAUUUGCAAAAUAACGGCUCCGUAGACCCAACUGAAUUGGUAACCACUGCUUUGUUGCAGAAUAACCAUAUUUUGGGGUUACUAGCGAAUAAAUUGGCUUCACUAGGGUCAGUGGGGAAUGUGGCUACACCCAUACACCCUUGGGCUUUCGCGCCACCCGCUUCUACGUCCGCU
rnacentral:lncRNA from 1 species